AGGUCCAGGAGCAACGUUUUAAGCUGACUUGCAUGUGAUCACUUUGAGCGUGGAAAGAUUGUGCGUCUGUAUGCGUAUGCGUGUGUCUCCGUCCAUGAUUUUUGACGAUGGAGGUUCCAGCAAACGUGUGUAUCGCAAGCGCUCGUCCACCGCUGCAACCUGCCGUGCCCUCCAUUCCGAUCCACAGGCACCUCCGGCGACCUGGGUUUCAGGCAGCGUCCCACACUCACAUCUCACUACGAGGGGCUCGUAACUCUCCGUGGUCGUGUGCCUGCUUGGUUGUUGGGACGACACCAAGCUGAUUCAGCGUGCAAAUUUAACACCUCUGAGGCUGGCGAAGGUGUGUGACGCAAGAGGCGUGUAAAUCCCUGAAGGAGCUUCUUUUUCCAGUUUCGGAGCUGCGAGGAAUUGCUGCAGAAAUGGCUUUUUUUUUUUACAGCCAGCAGGGGUCUCUCAUUAUUCCACGGAGCCGUUGUGUCCCAUGCACAACCGGAGAAACGGCGAGUCCAUCACACAUGCCUCCUCAUCAAGCCUGUGUCUGCUCUCUAAGCAUUUCUUACAUUCAUCAAGAAUCAUAUAUGGGUGCAAUUUGGUCCAUCAGUAUAUGGGACAUUCCAUAGUCUAUGCUUUAAAAAGAAAGACUUGCUACACCCAACUUGACAUUAACCAUUUGCAAAUUCUUACAGAGUGCAUUAGCAGAGUACUUGCCAUAUGGCUUGUGGAAUUGAGAUCAUCCAUCUCAGUGUCAAUAUUUUUGGAUUGUGUAUCUGUUUCCCUGACUUUUGCACAAAUUUAUCCAUCAGAGCUGAAAACAUCCUGGUCCCACUGAGCACAUCACUGGCACAAUGUCCCAUUUUAUUUGCGGCUGGUUUCCAAGUGCAUUUUACAGAAGGAGUCAGAACGACAAAGGCAAGCGGCAUCGGCUAGAUGAGAAACAGCGAUUUCCCGAGAGGAAAGGUGGUCACGUGAAAAUAGUUAGAAUUACAGUGGACUUCUGGCCAGCGUACUGUACUUUUCUUACUGCUGUGUCCUCAAACUGGCCUGAAAACCUAAAUCACUCCUUUUAAAAACCCAGCUAUGUAAAAGGCUACAGAGGUAUAAUUUUAAGGAUAUAAUUUCAUUGACUUCACAAGAAAUUCUUGUCCUCUAAAUACCACUUAGUAGCUACAGCAGCUCCUGUGAUUGAGACCAAAACCAAAAUUAUUAAAACAAGACAACUCCAUGGUUUUGAGCAGCUUCACCAGGUACAGAAGGGAAAAAAAAUCCCAAAUUUGCAAUCUGACAUGUAAGUAGACAUACUUCCAAUAAUAGAAAUGUAAAACAGCAUCUUAACUACAAUGAAAACCUUCUCCAAGACAUGGUAAGUACAGAUCAUGUCCCAAAUACACACCAUUACAUAAACACUGCACUUUGAAAAGCUUAUGGAAACAGUAAUAUAUUCUUAACGUGAUUAAAUGCGGCAUCCUUCACAAUGCUUUCAAGUCAUUAAAUAAGUAGUUAUUUACUCUGAGUGUGCAGCUGAGGUACUUUGCUUUUAUGUCAUGUGGAAAGGAACCUACUUUUCAGGAAUGAGAGCCACUGAGCUGAACUUCAGACAAGAGCUGCUCAGAACACCGUAAACAUUGAUAUGUUAGCAGGUGUUUGUGGUUCUUCAUCAAAACAAAGAUAAUGUGAUGUGUCUUUCCAUGUCCCAUUUCUUAUACGUUCUAAUCUGCAGUACAUUUGGUCCGUGCACACCUUUGCUCUUGCUUUAACAAACUUUAAAAUUCAGUGUUACAGUAAAAACACAGAAUUCAUGCAAACUGUCGAUCUGAAAAGCAAAUAAUAUUUUAUCAAUGUUUUCGGUGUGGGAAAAGGUGUGUUUGUGUUUGGUUGGAUUGGACCAAUGCUAAAGACACUUCUGUACAAUGAUCUUGGUACUGCUGAAGGCAAAGUGUUCUUUAUGUGUCAUACCGAAAAUGUAUCGGUAAUGGGAUCCACAGAUCUAUUACCACAUUUUCAUGGGUAUCUGUUAAAUCACACACUUACACUGCAUGAUAAAUGUGUAUAACUUAGUCACCUUGGUGAAUAAGGUGUGUGGGUUGAUAACGCCACACAAAGUUCAUUGGGGGUCGCUUUGGAGAAAAGUGUCUGCUAAAUAAAUAAACGUAAGUGUAAAUGUAUAACUUAAGCCCGAAAAUAGUUGAAAUUGCCUUUUCC